UAAUAAAAACCUAAAUUAUUAAUAGAUAAAGUCUUUAAAUUUGAAGAAUUUGGCGGUGAUUUAAUCUUGUUAGAGGAACCUGUUUAUAAAUCGAUACACCACGUGAAAUCUUACUCGUUUUAUUUAGCUUAUAUACCGUCAUUAUUAGAUAAUUUUUUAAAGGAUUAUUAUUAGGAUUUAUAUGAACAUUAAAAUAAAUUAAAUUAGAUCAAGGUGUAGUCUAUGAAUGAGUUUAAAUGGGUUACAAUAAAAUAUAUUUAUUACGGAUUUGGUUUAAAAAAGAAGUGGCUAAUGAAGGAGGAUUUAAUUGUAAUAUAGGUUUAAUAAGCUUAAAAGAUAUGGGCUCU
rnacentral:rRNA from 1 species